CGGACUAUCAGGUAGUAGUCAGGGUAAAGGCCUGACUAGCCUACGACGGAUACGGGUUGUGAGAGCAAUAACCCGGAGACGAUAUCUGAGACACGAUAUCGGGCCCUACGGGGCGCAGCAGGCGCGAAAACUUCACACUGUGCGAAAGCACGAUGAGGGAAUCCCAAGUGCUUGCUCGUAAGAGUAAGCUGUUUUUAUGUCUAAAAAGCAUAGAGAGUAAGGGCUGGGUAAGACGGGUGCCAGCCGCCGCGGUAAUACCUGCAGCUCAAGUGGUGACCACUAUUAUUGGGCCUAAAACGUUCGUAGCCGGUUUAUUAAAUGCUUGGGUAAAUCGUGUAGCUUAACUAUACGAAUUCCGGGUAGACUGAU
rnacentral:rRNA from 1 species